UACGUAGGGUGCAAGCGUUGUCCGGAAUUAUUGGGCGUAAAGAGCUCGUAGGCGGUCCAUCGCGUCGGGAGUGAAAAGCUGGGGCUCAACCCCAGUCCUGCUUCCGAUACGGGUGGACUAGAGGUAGGCAGGGGAGAACGGAAUUCCUGGUGUAGCGGUGAAAUGCGCAGAUAUCAGGAGGAACACCGGUGGCGAAGGCGGUUCUCUGGGACGGUACUGACGCUGAGACGCGAAAGCGUGGGGAGCGAACAGG
rnacentral:rRNA from 1 species